GAUCUAUCUAUGGAGAUGUAUAGGUGAAUAGUGCCCAAUAUGAUCUAUCUAUGGAGAUGAGAUGUAUAGGUGAAUAGUGUCCAAUAGGAUCUAUCUAUGGAGAUGUAUAGGUGAAUAGUGUCCAAUAUGAUCUAUCUAUGGAGAUGAGAUGUAUAGGUGAAUAGUGUCCAAUAGGAUCUAUCUAUGGAGAUGAGAUGUAUAGGUGAAUAGUGUCCAAUAGGAUCUCUCUAUGGAGAUGUAUAGGUGAAUAGUGCCCAAUAGGAUCUAUCUAUGGAGAUGUAUAGGUGAAUAGUGUCCAAUAGGAUCUAUCUAUGGAGAUGAGAUGUAUAGGUGAAUAGUGCCCAAUAGGAUCUAUCUAUGGAGAGGAGAUGUAUAGGUGAAUGGUGUCCAAUAGGAUCUAUCUAUGGAGAUGAGAUGUAUAGAUGAAUAGUGUCCAAUAUGAUCUAUCUAUGGAGAUGAGAUGUAUAGAUUAAUAGUGUCCAAUAGGAUCUAUCUAUGGAGAUGAGAUGUAUAGAUGAAUAGUGUCCAAUAGGAUCUAUCUAUGGAGAGGAGAUGUAUAGGUGAAUAGUGUCCAAUAGGAUCUAUCUAUGGAGAGGAGAUGUAUAGAUGAAUAGUGUCCAAUAGGAUCUAUCUAUGGAGAUGAGAUGUAUAGGUGAAUAGUGUCCAAUAGGAUCUAUCUAUGAAGAUGAGAUGUAUAGGUGAAUAGUGUCCAAUAGGAUCUAUCUAUGGAGAUGUAUAGGUGAAAAGUGUCCAAUAGGAUAUAUCUAUGGAGAGGAGAUGUAUAGGUGAAUGGUGUCCAAUAGGAUCUAUCUAUGGAGAUGAGAUGUAUAGGUGAAUAGUGUCCAAUAGGAUCUAUCUAUGGAGAUGAGAUGUACAGGUGAAUAGUGUCCAAUAGGAUCUAUCUAUGGAGAUGAGAUGUAUAGGUGAAUAGUGUCCAAUAGGAUCUAUCUAUGGAGAUGUAUAGGUGAAUAGUGUCCAAUAGGAUCUAUCUAUGGAGAUGUAUAGGUGAAUAGUGUCCAAUAGGAUCUAUCUAUGGAGAUGAGAUGUAUAGGUGAAUAGUGCCCAAUAGGAUCUAUCUAUGGAGAUGUAUAGGUGAAUAGUGCCCAACAGGAUCUAUCUAUGCUGUGUUGUUCCCACAAUUGGUGUGUUUCAGUGAGGAUGAGGAGGAAAGAGGAUUUACUGCUGCAAGAGAGACUGAUUGGAAAAGCAGCUUUACCAAGUAUCCCAAAUAGCACACUAUUCCCUAUGUAGUACACUAGGGUCUGAAGGCUUGUGGUCCAAUGUAGUGCACUACACUAGGGAAUAGGAGUGCCAUUUGGGACGGAGGCAGUGGAUAGAGGGAGGAAAAUCUACCCAGCG